rnacentral:rRNA from 1 species
AUGUCCAACCGCCCGCCGGCGCCAAUGCCGGACACGCUCUCCGACGCCUUCGCCGCCGCCGUGCUCCUCUCCUCCAACGACAAGCCCGACACGCUCCCGCCGGGUCGCCUCUCGCCCGUCUCCCCGCUCCCGCACUCCUCCUCCAAGCACCACCACCACCACCACACCCCGAGCUCCUCCUCGGGCUCCUCCGGCUCCGUCUCCCGGGCGCCCGCCUUCGCCUCGCGCCGGAGCCACUCCGGGGAGAUCCCGCUCCCCUCCGACGCCCCCCCGCGCGGGGCGCGCCCGGGCCACCGCCGCACUGGCUCCGGCCCCCUCAUCUUCACCUCCGGCUCCACCUCCAGCUCAGCCACCUCGCCGCUCACCAACGCGCUCCCCGCCGGGAACAUCUGCCCCACCGGCCGCCUCGCCAAGCCGCUGCCUUCCUUCUCCGCGGCCUCCACCCCGCCGCCCCCGGCCCCUCCCCGCGCCAUCCGCCACGACGUGCUCGGCUCCGGCACCGGCAACUACGGCCACGGGAGCAUCAUCCGCUCGCGCAGCGGCGGCGUGGCCCCCGAGGAGGACGCCGCGGUCAGGCGGGCCAUGUCCAGCGCCGACCCGGAGGAGCUCAAGAGGGCCGGCAACGAGCAGUACAAGAAGGGCUACUUCGAGGAGGCGCUCAGGCUCUACGACCGCGCGCUCGCCUUGUCCCCGGACAAUGCCGCAUGCCGGGGCAACCGGGCCGCCGCGCUCACCGGCCUCCGCCGCUUCGGCGACGCCAUCAAGGAGUGCGAGGAGGCCGUGCGGAUCGAUCCGUCGUACGGACGCGCGCACCAACGGCUCGCCUCGCUUCACAUAAGGUUGGGACACCUUGAGGAUGCUCAGAAGCACCUUACCCUGGCAACCCCACAGCCUGACCUCCUAGAGCUGCACAAAUUACAAACAGUGGAAAAGCACCUGGGCAGAUGCCUUGAUUCACGGAAGGUUGGGGACUGGAAGAAUGUGCUGAGGGAAUGUGAUGCCGCUAUCGCGGCUGGAGCUGACUCCUCUGCUCUGCUCUUUGCCGCGAGAGCAGAGGCUCUUCUCCGGCUCAAUCAGCUCGAUGAGGCUGAUAUGGCCAUCUCCAGUGCUUCCAAGUUGGAUUAUUCAUCUUCCUGCACCUCAGACACCAAAUUCUGUGGCUUCUUUGCCAACGCAUACCUCUAUUACGCACAUGCCCAAGUUGACAUUGCAUUGGGAAGGUUCGAUCAUGCUGUCUCUUCAGCUGACAAGGCCAGAAUAAUAGACCCAAGAAAUGUCGAAGUGAUAACAAUGCAUAACAAUGUGAAAGCUGUAGCAAGAGCACGAUCUCUAGGGAAUGAGCUAUUUAAAUCUGGAAAAUUUUCAGAAGCUUGCAUGGCUUAUGGCGAAGGGCUCAAACAUCACCCUGUAAAUCCGGUCCUUCACUGCAACAGGGCCGCUUGCAGGUUCAAGCUAGGGCAGUGGGAGAAGUCUAUUGAGGACUGCAAUGAAGCCCUCAUGAUUCAACCCAAUUAUACCAAGGCUCUGCUGAGGCGUGCAGCUUCCUAUGGCAAGAUGGAGCGAUGGGCGGAAUCGUUGAAGGAUUAUGAGGUUCUAAGAAAGGAACUCCCAGGUGACACUGAGGUUGCUGAGGCCUAUUUCCAUGCUCAGGUUGCCCUCAAGUCAUCUCGGGGUGAGGAAGUAUCAAACCUGAAGUUUGGAGGAGAGGUUGAAGCAGUUACAGGAAUGGAACAAUUCCAGAUGGCUACUUCCUUGCCAGGUGUUUCGGUCGUCCAUUUCAUGACUUCUUCGAAUCAGCAGUGCGGUAAAAUUUCCCCGUUUGUGAAUGCACUGUGUACCAAAUACCCAUCUGUUAAUUUCCUCAAGGUGGAUGUAAACGAGAGCCCUGCUGUCGCGCGCGCAGAGAAUGUGAGGACAGUUCCAACAUUCAAAAUCUACAAGAAUGCCAUAAGAGUGAAGGAGAUGAUCUGCCCCAGCCAACAGCUGCUGGAGUAUUCAGUAAGGCAUUACGGGACCUAG